rnacentral:rRNA from 1 species
GACGUAGGGGGCCAGCGUUGCUCGGAAUUACUGGGCGUAAAGGGUCCGUAGGCGGUGCGGUAAGUCGGGAGUGAAAUCUCUGGGCUUAACUCAGAGGCUGCUUCCGAAACUGCCGUGCUAGAGUGCGAGAGAGGCAAGUGGAAUUGCGGGUGUAGCGGUGAAAUGCGUAGAUAUCCGCAGGAACAUCCGAGGCGAAAGCGGCUUGCUGGAUCGCAACUGACGCUGAGGGACGAAAGCUAGGGGAGCAAACAGGAUUAGAUACCCUGGUAGUCCUAGCCCUAAACUAUCACGACUUGGGGUUUGUCCUGUACGGGGCAAGUCCCGGAGCUAACGCGUUAAGUCGUGCGCCUGGGGAGUACGGUCGCAAGACUGAA